rnacentral:rRNA from 1 species
GACGAACGCUGGCGGCGUGCUUAACACAUGCAAGUCGAACGGAAAGGCCCUGCUUUUGUGGGGUGCUCGAGUGGCGAACGGGUGAGUAACACGUGAGUAACCUGCCCUUGACUUUGGGAUAACUUCAGGAAACUGGGGCUAAUACCGGAUAGGAGCUCCUGCUGCAUGGUGGGGGUUGGAACGUUUCGGCGGUUGGGGAUGGACUCGCGGCUUAUCAGCUUGUUGGUGGGGUAGUGGCUUACCAAGGCUUUGACGGGUAGCCGGCCUGAGAGGGUGACCGGCCACAUUGGGACUGAGAUACGGCCCAGACUCCUACGGGAGACAGCAGUGGGGAAUAUUGCACAAUGGGCGGGAGCCUGAUGCAGCAACGCCGCGUUCGGGAUGACGGCCUUCGGGUUGAAAACCGCUUUCGCCUGUGACGAAGCGUUAGUGACGGUAAUGGGUAAAGAAGCACCGGCUAACUACGUG